rnacentral:pre_miRNA from 1 species
AUUUUACUCCCUCCGUCCCAAAAUUCUUGUCUUAGAUUUGUCUAAAUACGGAUGUAUCUAGUUACAUUUUAGUGUUAGAUACAUCCGUAUCUAGACAAAUAUAAGACAAGAAUUUUGGGACGGAGGGAGUAUUUU